UACGGGGGGGGGCAAGCGUUUGUUCGGAAUUACUGGGCGUAAAGGGCUCGUAGGCGGCCAACUAAGUCGGAUGUGAAAUCCCCAGGCUCAACCUGGGAACUGCAUCCGAUACUGGAUGGCUUGAAUCCGGGAGAGGGAUGCAGAAUUCCAGGUGUAGCGGUGAAAUGCGUAGAUAUCUGGAGGAAUACCGGUGGCGAAGGCGGCAUCCUGGACCGGCAUUGACGCUGAGGAGCGAAAGCUAGGGGAGCAAACGGG
rnacentral:rRNA from 1 species